UUGAAAUCAUUUUUAAAUUUCCAGUCCAAUAAAGUUAGUCAAUCUUGAACCACUAUAAACAAUAGUGAUAAGAAAUGAACCGGAGAUGAUCUGUACGUUUCCUUUAAAUACAGGCUUUUGCCUUCUAAAUUUUUUGUGUCAUAGAGAGGUUAUGAUAGCCUUGCUUAGCUAGAGAGUUUGUGUGGAGAAAACUAAUUUCAUUGUGAGAGAAGGAGGUUUAUUUGUACUGAGGGAUUUGGAAUUGUGUUUUUCACCGCCUUUUCUAUAUUUUAUCGGUAAAUUUGGUCUCCGUUUAUCAACUUUGUCACGAAAAGACAAAAUAGAAAUGGCAAUAUUUCAUGCGACACCAAAGAAUGGCGGGCUUUCGUUCUUUACGCGUGCUUCAAUCCUACCAAUCAUGAUUGCCACCAUCUUUCUUAUGCAAACGGUUUUGAUUGAUGCAGAUCAUAAUUGGAGGGUGGUUGUACGAAAAGUUGAUCAUUCCCCCCCUCCCCCUCCACAACUGGGAGGGCCCAUUCAUGUAUUUCCAAGACCACCUUUUCAUAAGCCACCGACUUUUAAACCACCACCACUCAGUAGUAAAAGUCCGCCACCACCACCGCUACUACGACCACGGCCACGGCCACCACCACCACCGGCAAGGGGCACACACUUAUAGACUUCCACGCAGAAUCAUAAGUCCAGUAGCAGCCCCUAGUAGUCCACAUAUUUGCAUGUUUUGAAUGCCAGGCAACAUUAUAUUGUUCAGGCAAUGAUUUAUUAUUUCAAUGGCAACGACAGAAUGUGGUAAAUGGUAAUUGUAGCUACACAUACCUCGUAGUGUUGUUGGGUAGGGUCCAAGUGGAUGGGAAGUUGAAGACAAUCAACACAAGACACUUAAAGUCAGUGUUAAAUAUUUGGAAUAACGAUUUUAUUUAUUUGGUUCAGAAAAUUGUAAUGGACUCGUAGAGUUUUCAAAAACAAUACAAUUCAGUCCUAAAAUGUUUAAAUUAA